rnacentral:lncRNA from 1 species
AAAUGCUUAAAAUAAUGACUUAAGCCUUUAUGAAGCACCAACGGUAUGUACCUAAUAACUAACUUGGAUCUAAAGAGGGCAUCCUAGCAUGAGAAGGACACAAGAAUCUAACUUGUACGGUUGUACCGAUUUCAUUGAGUGAUGUAAAAUAUCAAACGGAUUUGUUUGCAUUUCCAUUGCAAGAUACCAAUAACAAGUACACAUAAAGGGAAAAAAAGAGUAGAAAGAGCAAACCUCAGCUUCCUUUUGAGCUGCCUCUACCUGAACCAGCUGCUUUUGUACAUCUGAAAUCUUUUGUUUCUCCGCUGCAAUAUCCUCCUGCAGCUUCUUUUUCUGUUUCUCCCAAACUCCAAGCUUCUUAAUGCACUUCUUCUCUCUCUUAGCAGCCUCCAUACAUGUUUUUGCAGAUUCUGACGCGCUUAACUUAGAAGCCUCCAUCUCUGCCCUGAUUUCUGCAUUCUCAUUCUCAAGCUUUUUUACAGCCAAGUUUGCACGGUCAACUUGGCCGCUGGCUUUUCUUAGAGCAUUCUGUACAUGUUUUUGCAGAUUCUGAUGCGCUUAACUUAGAAGCCUCCAUCUCUGCCCUGAUUUCUGCAUUCUCAUUCUCAAGCUUUUUUACAGCCAUGUUUGCACGGUCAACUUGGCCGCUGGCUUUU